rnacentral:lncRNA from 1 species
GUACCGCAAGCGCAGGAAGCGCUUCAGGAACACUUGGCAGUGGUAGAGCGCCAGCACGUACUGCAGCGCCAGGUCCAGCGCCCCUGGCGCCACCGCGACCCCCGCCCCGCCGCCCAGGCUGAGUAGUAGCGCCUGGCCCGCUAGGGUCUGCAGCCCCACGUGGGCCGAGGGGUAGAGGAGGAAAUUGAAGACGAAGGCGUUGGGACAGCGCCGCUGCUGCAGGAUGGUGUUUCCCUUCCUGUUUGCUGAUCCACUGGGGCUGUCCCAGAAAGAGAACUACAACGCUACUCUUUCCCAUGCCUUGCUUGUCCACAGCUUUUUCUUUGGUCUUUUGGAACACUUAUUUUGGGGGAAGCAAACUCCAUGUAAGUAGUGCAAGCCCAAGACUUCAUGCUGUGAGGAAGCCCAAGGUAGCUACAGGAAGAGAAGCAGAUGCCUGAAGCUUCUGGCUGUUCAUCUAUUCAAGCCCAGGUACCAGAUUUGAAUGAAGAAGCUGUCAGAGGACUUUAUCCUCAGCUGCUCUGUGGCUGAAACUCUAUGAAGGACUCCAAGCUGAACAUACCAUCUGCAGAACCAUGGGUGAUGAAAAAGCACCCAUAGGAUAUUGAAAGUUAUCAGGAUAUUCUUCCCACUCCAAGAUCCAGGAAAGUAACACAUCAAUACAGGACAAGGAGAUGCUUCAACAUCAGAAAUGCAUGGGAGAGUACUUCCGGAAGACCUGAAAUGCUGCCUUAAAAUAGAAAGGAUUGUUGAGCUGAAGACUAGAAGCAGCAGAUGCAAGAAAGUUCUCUGCUUUACCUCUAUUUGCCUAAAAACAGGAUAUCGAUUUAUAAAGACAAAAUGUGCCCCAGCCCCACUUCUAUCAGGGAGAAAAACAGUUAACCAGUGAGGACGACUUAGGACCUUUACUGGCCUGGAGAUGGUACCAGAGGAGUUUAUAUUAACAAACUUGACUAACUAGCCUUUAUCUGUCAUUAUUUGUCUUUCCCCAAGAUGCUAUCCUAUAGAAGCUCAAAGUUAUUUUCCUUUGUAUUGUCACUUCUCUAAAAAUUUACUGUUCUUUGUUGAAGAUGCUGUAUAAGCUGGAUUUCCAAGCUGCCUCUUUCAGAAUUAUUCAUUCCCUGGUGCCUCACAUGUAUAUAUGUAAUAUAUGUAUUAAUAAAUCUUGUUUGUUUUUCUCUUAUUAUUCUGUUUUUUGUUAGGGGGCUGUUCCAUCUAAGAACAUAUGGGGGUUAUUCUUCCCCUACACUCUUAUUCUUCCAUAUUUGCAUAUAUCAAAAUCUUUGUUCAUUGUUGUGGAAUUGAUUUUUUUCUUUCAUGUAUAUCUUCCAAGUUUAUUAACAAACAAUAACAAAGCUUUUCUUUCAGCUGAUACUUCUGUCCUUAAGAAAUCUAAGACAAAAGUUAAAGUUAGAUAAAGGAAGAUUUGCUGUCAUAGUAAGUGUGGCAGCAUGAUGGGGAAAUCAGAGUUUCUUCCUAAGUAAAAGUAUGGAUGAGCCCCUAAAAUCCCAAAGAAAAAGCUGCAGGGCAGCUGGGAGGAACACUGGGAGGGCAGGGUAAUUGCCAACAAUAAAGCAGGUGAAUGUUUUUAUGCUAACCAAAAAUAGUGCUUCCCAAACUUUUCCACACCUUAGAAACAUCUCGGGAGCUUUUUAAAUAUCCCAAUGCCCGGUCUCAUUCAAUACCAAUUAUAUGAGAACAUCUGGGGUAGAAGGCUGGUAUUAGUAUCUUUUUAAAGUAUACUAGGUGACUCCAAAGUGCAGCAUAAUUUGGGAACUGCUAUUCUGUAAUAAGAUUCUUUAAAAAUACUGACUGUAUUAUUUUGACUACACUCCAUAUAUUAAUAGUUUAUAUUUACACUGGCUCUUUAAUUUUCCUUAUCCAGGCUAAGGAAAACUUUUGAGGCUGAAGAUUAUGAUCAGGCACAUUGCAGUGAGGUGGCUUCAAUGAACCCUGACUGUUGCUUUUGUUUUUCCUUCCUUAUUUGAAUAGCCUUAAGCUACUUAUUUGAACUGAUUGUCCUAAACGCGAAUGUUUUUGCAUGAUUUCCUCCCUGCUCAAAUUGUCUGAUUUGGUUCUACCUCUUGUAAUCCUUGCAAAAGUGACUAAAGUCCAGGGACAUGCUUGUGGAGUGACUUCCUCCACUUGGUGUCAUUCAAUUAGGUAAAGAUUACCAACAGCAACUGCUUCUAUCCUUUGCAAUUUACUCACAGUAGCUACCUCAUAUGCUUCAUUUACAUGAAGUUAUUUUGUUUACCAACCUCUGGCGUAGGUCCCCAAGUCUUAAUGCACACUUUAAGUGUCCUAAAUAGACAAAACAACUGUUUCCUUGAGGUGGCAUUAGAUAACGUAAUGGUAAAGCUCUUCAAGAGUGUUUCUUAAAGUUCCUGCUCAUUUGCACUUCCAAGUUUUUAUUAGAUUUCAAAGCAUCAUGCAUUUACAUAUAUCAAUUUCUAAGUACUAUGAAGUAGUUUAUUAAAUUGAAUUUCUCUGAUGUUUCCUGUCUCAGUUAUAUGCCAAUUUCAAAACAAAAUAUUAACUCAAAAUUUGAUAAUUUGAUAUUAUCCAAAUAUUCAUCCUUACCUGUAUAUUAAUAAUGUCCAUUAAAUUUAUAUAUAUAUAGUCUAUUGAAUAGCAACAUUCUAAAGAUAUUCCCAUCUUAGUUAUAAUUAGUUCAUCAAAAAGGUUGUAUUAGAAUUAUUUUUUGGCUAUCAUUCACAUACCUGAUUAUUUACAGGAAGGAUUUGAAUGACAAAUACAGCAAUAUCCAGAGACAUACAGUGAGGAAGGUGUGAUGUAGAUAGAAGAAAGAAGAGAGCCAUACUAAAAAACACUGGCCUUGAAAAGCAAAGAGCAAUUAACAGGGGAAGAGAAUUAUUCAAUUUUCAGAACUUAAAAAAAAAUACACAAAAUCCUCUGAAUUUUGUGGUAGUCAAAUUAAAAGAGAAGUGACAUAAAAUCAUAAUAAUCUCAUUAGAUAUUAAAAGGAAGCAUGCCAACUCACUACAAAGGCCAACAUUUUUGCUGAUUCUGAUGUCUACAUGAUGUGCUGAGUCUGAUGUCUAAGAGAGAUGUCAUCAUAUAAAGUAUGUUUAAUCGUAUUAUUACAUAUGUAGAAAAUCAUUCAUACAACCAUGUUUAUAUAGCCAUUCCUUAUACUGACCAUUAAUGUAAAUCAGUAAUAAAAGAUUAAAUCACAAUUGUUCCAUGGCAGUUAGAAUGCACUGUAAAGCAACUCGUAUAGCUGUCUAGUAUUUUUACAUUAUGUCCAGAUAAAACUCAGAGAACUCCGUUCUAAAGAGAAACAUUUUACCAUGUCUCAUAGGCUAUUUUUUAUAGUAAAUGAUUUCAGACUAAUUCUCUCAUCUUUUUUACAACGUAGAGUUUGUGUGUUUGUUUGUUUUCUUUUGCUACAAAAUAACCAUGACCAUAUUUGUAGUUAGUAGAGAAGUCACACACAUAAAUGAAUCUUGUAUAUAGUACAGUGGCCAUAUUUAUUCACCAAGAUAAGAUUGAUAUAAUAUGUAACAAUAAAAAUAACAGUUGGGUUAAUGCACACUUCUUUAUUGUUGCAGUUAGCAAAUAAUGCAAUGAGCAGCUAAAGGAGGAAGAGAAUUAUUCAAUUUUCAGAAUCUGAAAAAGAAAUACAUUUAGUCAAAUGCGGUUUUGUAUGGACUCAUGUCUUAAAGGUACAACCAAGUCUUCUCUUCCCUGGGCUGACUUAUAAUUUGUUUAUUUAUUAGAGUUUAUAAUUGAGGGUAAUCAUGGUAUUUAUCACUCAAACUGACACUUUGUGGACUGAAAAGGGUCUUCUAUUAAUUAUGAGGCCAGGAAAAUAGAUAUAACUUGGGACUGUCCUGGAAAAAAGGAAUGCAGAUUGUGAACACAGAAAAAUUAAUUUGCUUUCAAUUGAUCAGCUAUUUAAAGAAAGCUUUUUGGUGUCUACGGCUUCUUUCUGAAGUGUUUAAUUUACAGAUGGUUCAAUUAGAGCUCUGUUGCAAAAUUUUGGACCUAAGAGAAUGUUCACACUCUCAGCUUUAUAUGCCAGGAUGCCCUUUCCUGGAUUAUUUUCAUCCUUCAGUUCACAGCGGAAUUAUCAUCUUCUUACAUAAGCUUCUUCUGCUCUAUUUAAAGUAAUCCUACAAUUUGAGCUCCAAAAUAAAUAAGGAGAGCACUCCUCUUUCCAAGAAUGUAAACAAAUAAAUGUAGAAGGGGUGGUAUAGUUAGAAAAGUACCAUUCUAAAAUCAUUGUACUAAUAAUUAAUUUAGGUAAUAAUCAUCAGUGGAAGCCAAAACCAUUUGAUGAGAGUUGGUUAGCAGUAAAAUAUUUACAUAGUCUCACAGAUUGUCUGCACAGAACAGUUAAUAAUUACACAGGAAAAAAAUUACUGCAGUUAAACAAAAUCUGGGCAGUAUCCAUUUAACCAAGUGAUCAAAGUUAAUAUCAUCGAAAAAUGAGAAAAACUAUUAUAUGAUUCAUGAUUUGACACACUGAGGACACAGUAUUACUUAUGUAAUAUUUAUUUUAAAAUACCUAAUUCAAAUCUAACCAUUACAAAACAAACCCAGGUUGAAGACAAUCUCUUCAAAAAUGUCAAUGGCACAAAAGACAACGAAAGUCUAAGGAAUAGUUCAAGAUUAAAGGAUACUAAAGACACUGUACAACUAAAUUCAAUGCAUGAUCCUAAAGAAAAAAAAUUCUAUAAAGGACAUUAUUGAAACAGUUAUCAUAUGAACUCUUUGCUAGAUCAUAAUAUUAUAUCAAAGGUAAAAUUCCUGAAAUUUGAAAUUAUAGUGUGAUUAAGAGAACGCCUUUUUUUCUUAGGGGAUACAUGCUGAAGUAUGUAAUGAUGAAGGAUUAUGAUCUCUUACUUUCAAUGGUUUAAAAACCUACUCUCAGUGUUUCAUAAACACGAAUAAAAAUAAUACAUUAGUCUGCUCAGGCGGCCAUAACAAAUACCAUAGGCUAGGUGGCUGAAGAAAUAGAAAUUUAGAUCUGGAGGCUAGAAAUCUGAGGGCAGGAUGCUAGCAUAGUCAGGCUCUGGUGAAGGCUUUCUUCUUGGAGUGCAGAGAGCCACAUGCUCACUAUGUCCUCAUAUGGUAGAGGCAGAGCUUUGGUGUUUCUCUUUUUAAUAAAGAUACUAAUAUCACCAUGAAAGCCCCACCUGCAUGACUUUAUCAAAAUCUAAUUACCUUCUAGAGGCCCCAUGUCUAAAUACCAUCACAUUGGGGGUUAUGAGGAGGGGCACAAUUAAAUUAGUAUCAAAUAACUAUCAUAGUAUUUAAGUUUAAUAUAUGUUUAAAGAUAUUUAAACAUAUAUGUGUAUAUUUUAUAUAUAUAUACACACACAGAGAGAGAACAGGAGAGGAGAAGAGUGGGGAGAACAGGAAAAGAGAGGGAAGAGAAGGAGAGAGGAGAGGAGAGGAGAGGACUCAGUAGGAGUCCUCUUGCUACUGAGAAGAGGAGUAGAAGCGACAACAAUGUGACUGAUAUGGUUUGGCUAUGUCCUCACCCAAAUCUCAUCUUGAAUUGUAGCUCCCAUAAUCUUCAAGUGUCAUGAGAGGGACUCGGUGGGAGGAAAUUGAAUUAUGAGGGCAUGAUUUUCCCAUUUUGUUCUUGUGAGAGUGAGUAAGUCUCACAGGAUAUGAUGGUUUUAUAAAGGGUGGUUCCCCUGCAUAUGCUCUCUUUUCUGCCACCAUGUAAGAUGUGCCUUUGCUCCCCCUUCAUCUUCUGCCAUGAUUGUGAGGCCUCCCCAGCCAUGUGGAACUGUGAGUCCAUUAAACCUCUUUUUCUUUAUAAACUACCCAGUCUCAAGUAUUUCUUCACAGAGUAUGAAAAUGAAUGAAUACAGUAAAUUGAUACGCAGAGAGUGGGGUGCUGCUGUAAAGACAUGCAAAAAUGUGGAAGUGACUUUGUAACUGGGUAACAAUUAGAGACUGAAACAGUUUGGGUGGGUGCUCAGAAGAAGAUAAGAAAAUGUGGGAAAGUUUGGAACUUCCUAGAGACUUGUUGAAUGGCUUUGACCCACAUGCUGAUAGUGAUAUGAACAACAAAGUCCAGGCUGAAGUGGUCUCCAUGUAAGACCUUGCCACCAUGUAAGACGUGCCUUUGCUCCUCCUUCACCUUCUGCCAUGAUUGUGAUUCCUCCCCUGCCAUGUAGAAUUGUAAACCCACUAAGCCUAUUUUUCUUUAUAAAUUACCCAGUCUCAGGUAUUUCUUCAUAGUGGUAUGAAAAUGGACUAAUACAGUGACAAAAUAUUAACAAUGUGGAAAUAUAGGUGAAU